rnacentral:tRNA from 1 species
GACCGCGUAGCUCAGUUGGCAGAGCAUUUGGGCUAGUAUUCCAAAGGUCGUAGGUUCGAUUCCCACCGUGGCCA